AACGAACGCUGGCGGCAUGCCUAACACAUGCAAGUCGAACGGGUGGCUUCGGCCAUCAGUGGCGCACGGGUGAGUAACGCGUGGGAAUCUGCCCAGCAGUGGGGGAUAACCUCUGGAAACGGAGGCUAAUACCGCAUACGCCCCUCGGGGGAAAGGCUUGCUGCUGCUGGAGGAGCCCGCGUCGGAUUAGGUAGUUGGUGGGGUAACGGCCUACCAAGCCUGUGAUCCGUAGCUGGUCUGAGAGGAUGAUCAGCCACACUGGGACUGAGACACGGCCCAAACUCCUACGGGAGGCAGCAGUGGGGAAUAUUGGACAAUGGGCGCAAGCCUGAUCCAGCCAUGCCGCGUGAGUGAUGAAGGUCUUAGGAUUGUAAAAUUCUUUCACCGGGGACGAUAAUGACGGUACCCGGAGAAGAAGCCCCGGCUAACUUCGUGCCAGCAGCCGCCGUAAAAC
rnacentral:rRNA from 1 species